rnacentral:rRNA from 1 species
UGGGGAAUAUUGGACAAUGGGCGCAAGCCUGAUCCAGCCAUACCGCGUGGGUGAAGAAGGCCUUCGGGUUGUAAAGCCCUUUUGUUGGGAAAGAAAUCCAGCUGGCUAAUACCCGGUUGGGAUGACGGUACCCAAAGAAUAAGCACCGGCUAACUUCGUGCCAGCAGCCGCGGUAAUACGAAGGGUGCAAGCGUUACUCGGAAUUACUGGGCGUAAAGCGUGCGUAGGUGGUCGUUUAAGUCCGUUGUGAAAGCCCUGGGCUCAACCUGGGAACUGCAGUGGAUACUGGGCGACUAGAAUGUGGUAGAGGGUAGCGGAAUUCCUGGUGUAGCAGUGAAAUGCGUAGAGAUCAGGAGGAACAUCCAUGGCGAAGGCAGCUACCUGGACCAACAUUGACACUGAGGCACGAAAGCGUGGGGAGCAAACAGGAUUAGAUACCCUGGUAGUCCACGCCCUAAACGAUGCGAACUGGAUGUUGGGUGCAAUUUGGCACGCAGUAUCGAAGCUAACGCGUUAAGUUCGCCGCCUGGGGAGUACGGUCGCAAGACU